rnacentral:rRNA from 1 species
GACGAACGCUGGCGGCGUGCCUAACACAUGCAAGUCGAACGGAACUGUUUUGAAAGAUUUCUUCGGAAUGAAUUUGAUUUAGUUUAGUGGCGGACGGGUGAGUAACGCGUGAGUAACCUGCCUUCAAGAGGGGGAUAACAUUCUGAAAAGAAUGCUAAUACCGCAUGACAUAUCGGAACCACAUGGUUUUGAUAUCAAAGAUUUUAUCGCUUGAAGAUGGACUCGCGUCCGAUUAGUUAGUUGGUGAGGUAACGGCUCACCAAGACCGCGAUCGGUAGCCGGACUGAGAGGUUGAACGGCCACAUUGGGACUGAGACACGGCCCAGACUCCUACGGGAGGCAGCAGUGGGGGAUAUUGCGCAAUGGGGGCAACCCUGACGCAGCAACGCCGCGUGAAGGAUGAAGGUUUUCGGAUUGUAAACUUCUUUUAUUAAGGACGAAAAAUGACGGUACUUAAUGA